AAAAAUUGUAAAACUAGGCAAAGCUCAACUUUAAACAAUAAAAAAUUAUUACCAAGAAAACAAUCCUUAAGUAAGUAAAUUAUUAAGAAACCCCAAAAGGCCCAAGAACAAAAGUACCGCAAGGGAAAGAUGAAAUAAAAUUAAAACAUAAAAUAAAGAAAGUAAAGAUUAAGACUUUUACCUCGUGUAUAAUGAGUUAACAAGAAAGAAGCAAGAAAAUGCUAACCCCGAAACUAAGUGAGCUAUUCUUUUCUCUUUUUUAGAAAGACCAAGGCACUGUUGCAAUAGUGCCCCCAAAGAAAAGAAUAGAUGUGAAAUGCUUAACGCACUAAGAUAUAGCUGGUUUUCCGAAAAAUUAGCCUGAGCUAAGACUUCCAACUAAGAAAGAAGAAAAUUAAACAAUAUUAAAUUAACUCUAAAAUUCGAAGUGAAAGGUCAGAAAACUAAGGAUAAACUUAAUUUUCAAGAUGGAAAAAGCCAACGUUUUCGGUUAAGGUCAAAAAGAAAAAUAAAUAGGCAAAAUAAAAAGAAUAGGCCUAGAAGCAGCCUCUUAGUAAAAAAGCGUUAAAGCUUAACUAAAAAGAAGCCUAAAAAAUUAUUGAAAACCCCACCAAAACCAAAAAAAGGUAUCGGAAUAUUCUAAUAAAAGUAAAAAAAAUGUUAACAUGAGUAAAGUAAGUCUUACCUGUAAAAUAAGCGUUCAUAACCUUGUAAGUAGAAAUAAUGAGAAUAAAAAACCAAUUUCACACAACGUCUUCCAACGCAGGAGGGACAGAAAAAAAAAAAAAAAAAAAAGGAACUCGGCAAAUUGUGCUUCGCCUGUUUACCAAAAACAUCGCUCCUCGAUGAAACUACAUGAGGAGUCCUGCCUGCCCAGUGACUAAAGUUAAACGGCCGCGGUAUCUUGACCGUGCAAAGGUAGCAUAAUCACUUGUCUCCUAAAUAGAGACUGGUAUGAAUGGCAAGACGGAGCUAAACUGUCUCUUUUUUUAAUCUUGAAAUUUACUUCCCCGUGAAGAGGCGUGGAUAAAAUCGCUAGACGAGAAGACCCUGUCGAGCUUAAAGCAAAAAAGAGGACAUCUUUAUAGUUAGACAAUACUAAUCUAUGUAAUUACAAAAGUUUAACUUUAACGUUUCUCUACAGAGCUUUGGUUGGGGCAACCGCGGAAAAAGAAAAACUUCCGCUUACAAAUAAUUAAAUAAAGGAAAACAAUCCUGUUAUCAGAAAUGAGAAUAGAUCCACUUAGGUGAUCAAAGGAACAAGUUACCGCAGGGAUAACAGCGUUAUCUUUUUUGAGAGUUCACAUUGACAAAAAGGUUUGCGACCUCGAUGUUGGAUCGGGACAUCCUAAGGGUGCAGAAGCUCUUAAGGGUUGGUCUGUUCGACCAUUAAAGUCCUACGUGAUCUGAGUUCAGACCGGCGAAAGCCAGGUCAGUUUCUAUCUUCGUAAAAAUCUUUCUUAGUACGAAAGGACCAGAAAGAAGGUGUCCAUAUAAAUAAAAAUAAACACUAAAAUUAAAAUC
rnacentral:rRNA from 1 species